rnacentral:rRNA from 1 species
GUGGGUGAUCUGCCCUGCACUUCGGGAUAAGCUUGGGAAACUGGGUCUAAUACCGGAUAGGAGCCAUCUUUAGUGUGGUGGUUGGAAAGUUUUUCGGUGUAGGAUGAGCUCGCGGCCUAUCAGCUUGUUGGUGGGGUAAUAGCCUACCAAGGCGGCGACGGGUAGCCGGCCUGAGAGGGUGUACGGCCACAUUGGGACUGAGAUACGGCCCAG